GACAUGGCUCAGUGGCAGAGCAUCUGCUUGGCAUGCAGAAGGUCCCCAGUUCAAACUGUGGCACCU
rnacentral:tRNA from 1 species